UGUGCAUAUAAAUCAUCUAGGGAAUCUUAUUAAAAUGGAAGCCUGAGUCAUAAAGUCUGGGGUAGGCUCUGAGAUUUUGCUUUUGUAAUCAGCUCCCAGGUGAUACUCAUUCUGCUGGAUUAUGGGCUAGGUUUAUGUAGAAAGACUAAAGCAGUGGCUCAAAACCCUUGCUAAUGAGAGAGACCUGAAGAAAGAGGAGAGGAGUGAAAGAGAGUAAUAUCCCAAAACAGAUAAAUCAGAAUCUUUGUGCAUGGAGCCUAAGCAUCAAUAUAGCUCCCUGGUGAUUUGGAUGGGUAGUCAAGGUAGAGAAUCCUGUUCUCAAAGUUGGGAUUCUACUGAAAAUCUGUCCUCUAAAUAAAUGGAAUAUUGCAGUUUUUCGUAUUUGAUUGAGUUGGUUUGACUAUCGUCUCCAAAAUUGAGAUGUCACUAAUGUAGUACCAAGGGUGGGGAUUUUAAAAGGUGAUUGGGCUUCACUCAUGUCGGGCUUGCUUUCCCUUCUGCUAUGUGAGAACACAGGAAAAGGGCACAACAUUCCUUCCCUCUCAAGAAUGCAGCAACCUGGUGCCAUCUUGGAAGCGAGAAUCCUCACCAGACAAAUGAAUCUGCUGGCUCCUUGAUCUUGGACUUACUAGUCUCUAGGACUUUUUGUUUUGGCUUUUUGUAAGUUACUAAGGCUCAGGUUUUUUGUUAUAGCAGCACAGACAGACUGAGAUAGCUUUGUUGGUUUCCAAAUGUGCCUUGACUAGAGAGAUAUGGAAGGCAACACUGCCUCCUGCUGGUAAUAGAUGGACCAGUCGAAAGGACAUUGAGGAUUUAAGUGGAACCCUGCUAUUACUGGCUCACUGCACUGACCCCCACACUUUUCCAGAUUACUCUUUCCUCAUUUAUAGAGUGGUGUGGGUAAAGUAAAAAUUUCCCUCUAUCUGCUAACAUAUUUGAGGAUAUCAUCUGGAAAGCUUUAAAAGAUAAGAUUGAAAUUAUUUGAGAUUUGCUUUGAAAUAACUGGGUGGUGGGCUCAAGAUGUAGCUCAGUGGUAGAAUGCUUGUCUAGCAUGCUCAAGGCUGUGUGUUUGAUUCCCAGUACUGGAAAAACAAUGUUUGUACUUAACUAGGUAGGAUUAUUUUGAGGUGAGGACUUUGAUCUAUGUUGUCCAAUCUAUAGCCACUAAUGAUUUGUAGCUAUUUAAAUUAAAUAGUUUCAAUGGGAAAAAAUUAAUGUCUCUCGUGACAUCAGCCACAUUUCAAGUGCUCAGUGGUCACAUGUGGCUAGCUGCACGGAUACUGCU
rnacentral:lncRNA from 1 species